UGUGGGGGAAGUCAGCAGCUGGAGGCCUCCAUUGGCAACCAGCCCAUCAAAAUUCAUUAGGAACACCAUGAGAAAGGUCAAGUGAAGUGAAGCCUGGGCCUUCAAGCCACCUCCACUGCUCAUUCUGUGUUCAGGCCAGCCAAUGCAAACAGCAUUACUCCUGCAGACUCCGAACUGUCUUGGAAAGAGCAAAGUUUUCAUCUUACCACUCUCAUUUAAAGGACAGAGAAAACCAGUGACUGAUGGUUCAAUGACUAUCUCAUGACUUGCAUGGCGACCCAACUAACAGAAAACUUUGAUCUGAAGUUCUUUGUUCCUUGUCGAUGUUUCUAAGGAAUGGAAGCACUUGGACAGACUUGCUUUUGGAUUUAUCACCUUCAGUAUCAUCAAGCCAGGUUCUCAGGGUUGGUGAUAGAGACCAUUUGUUUUAUCCUGGACAUGGAUGGAAAACAAGAGUCAGUUAGACUGAUUCAAAGUUAUCCCUUCAUCGGCCCAU